rnacentral:lncRNA from 1 species
UUAAAAUUUUUAACAAAUUCAACCCUAUACCCAUAUUUCAGAAACUUCCAAUUUUGGCCGAUACUAGUAUGUAAAAGAUGCCAUAUUUGAGUUGCCAAAUCUUUUAAACUUAUGGUUCAAAUCUUUUAAAAUUUUAACAAGAUGUUGAGGUUGGCCUAGUUUAUCAAUGAAAAAAAAUUAAGAAAAAUUAAACGACAGGAUUUUUUUGGGGUAUAGUGUUGGGUACCCCCUUAAAUA